rnacentral:rRNA from 1 species
UACGUAGGGUGCGAGCGUUAAUCGGAAUUACUGGGCGUAAAGCGUGCGCAGGCGGUUCGUUAAGUCAGCUGUGAAAGCCCCGGGCUCAACCUGGGAAUUGCGGUUGAAACUGGCGAACUAGAAUCUGGCAGAGGGGGGUGGAAUUCCACGUGUAGCAGGUGAAAUGCGUAGAGAUGUGGAGGAACACCGAUGGCGAAGGCAGCCCCCUGGGCUAAGAUUGACGCUCAGGCACGAAAGCGUGGGGAGCAAACAGGG